AUUUGAUGGUCAUUAGUCUUCAAAUGUGAAGUCUGAAGCUAGACCCUCCUAAUUCAGUCUGGUGUCCAUUCCUCUAUCCAGGGUUUCUCAACCUUGGCACUAUUGACACUUAGGGCCAGGUCAUUCUUUGUGGUGGGGGCUGUCCUGUACACUGUAGGAUGUUUAGCAACAUCCCUGGCCACUCUACCCACUAGAUGCCAGUAACACACGUGUGCAUGCAUGUGCACAUGCACACACACACACAGUGACAACCAAAAAAUGCCACUAAACAUUGCCCGUACCCAGAGGGGACAAAAAUCCUCCUAGUUGAGAAGCAGUGGUCUAAUCUCUUCUACUCCUUCUCCUUAAAAAUAACUGCCCUACUCAAAAAUACCCCCAUAGAACUGACUGCCAUAAUUUUAUCAUUACUGAUAUUGAGCUUAAUGUAACAGGUCCUAACCAAAAAGCAACUUCCUCUUACAGGCCUAGCCCCAGUUUGUUUCAGUGAAUACCACAAA
rnacentral:lncRNA from 10 species